rnacentral:rRNA from 1 species
GACGAACGCUGGCGGCGUGCUUAACACAUGCAAGUCGAACGGAAAGGCCCUGCUUUUGUGGGGUGCUCGAGUGGCGAACGGGCGAGUAACACGUGAGUAACCUGCCCUUGACUUUGGGAUAACUUCAGGAAACUGGGGCUAAUACCGGAUAGGAGCUCCUGCUGCAUGGUGGGGGUUGGAAAGUUUCGGCGGUUGGGGAUGGACUCGCGGCUUAUCAGCUUGUUGGUGGGGUAGUGGCUUACCAAGGCUUUGACGAGUAGCCGGCCUGAGAGGGUGACCGGCCACAUUGGGACUGAGAUACGGCCCAGACUCCUACGGGAGGCAGCAGUGGGGAAUAUUGCACAAUGGGCGGAAGCCUGAUGCAGCAACGCCGCGUGCGGGAUGACGGCCUUCGGGUUGUAAACCGCUUUCGCCUGUGACGAAGCGUGAGUGACGGUAAUGGGUAAAGAAGCACCGGCUAACUACGUG